GCAAAACUGGGAGGGGCCACGAGGACCUCGGGCACAUCCAGCCGUGCGACAGGGCCGGCGCCUUCUCCGAGCUCCUCCCACGCCCGCGGGUCGGAGCUCGCGCCUGCGCAGUUCGGGCCCCGGGUGUCCUCCCCCCUCCCCUUUCUUAGCAACCAUCGCCCGCUCCCGCCCCCGCUCCCUCGGCCGCGGCCGCGCACGCGCGCCCCUCCCGGCGCCCGGCCCCGCCCACCCCGUCACCCGUAACAACCACAAGUGCCCUCGCCGCGCCCCUUCCCCCUCCCGCCUCCCCGGCCCCCUCCCCGGAACCGGCGGUCGAGCUACGGCCGCGGAGCAGUGGAACCGGGACUGCCCCGCGGAGCCGCCGGUAUGAGCGCCCCUCGCCACCCCGCGUCCCAGGCCCGGCCUUUCUGACAAGAGCUAGACUUUGGGCUCCUUGAGGAUAUUCAGUUUUGUAUGUUUGAAUAUCCUCUCACCAUGUUCAGCAUAAAGUACCAUUCUUAAUGAUUAUCCUCAACAAGACAGGUGUGAGAGGGUUGCUGUUGUAUUGCAAUCAUGGUGCAGAAAUACCAGUCCCCAGUGAGGGUGUACAAAUACCCCUUUGAAUUAAUUAUGGCUGCCUAUGAAAGGAGGUUCCCUACAUGUCCUUUGAUUCCGAUGUUUGUGGGCAGUGACACUGUGAAUGAAUUCAAGAGCGAAGAUGGGGCUAUUCAUGUCAUUGAAAGGCGCUGCAAGCUGGAUGUAGAUGCACCCAGACUGCUGAAGAAGAUUGCAGGAGUUGAUUAUGUUUAUUUUGUCCAGAAAAACUCACUGAAUUCUCGGGAACGUACUUUGCACAUUGAGGCUUAUAAUGAAACGUUUUCCAAUCGGGUCAUCAUUAAUGAGCAUUGCUGCUACACCGUUCACCCUGAAAAUGAAGAUUGGACCUGUUUUGAACAGUCUGCAAGUUUAGAUAUUAAAUCUUUCUUUGGUUUUGAAAGUACAGUGGAAAAAAUUGCAAUGAAACAAUAUACCAGCAACAUUAAAAAAGGAAAGGAAAUCAUCGAAUACUACCUUCGCCAAUUAGAAGAAGAAGGCAUAACCUUUGUGCCCCGUUGGACUCCGCCUUCCAUCACGCCCUCUUCAGAGACAUCUUCAUCAUCCUGCAAGAAACAAGCAGCGUCCAUGGCCGUCGUCAUCCCAGAAGCUGCCCUCAAGGAGGGGCUGAGUGGUGAUGCCCUCAGCAGCCCCAGCGCACCUGAGCCCGUGGUGGGCACCCCUGACGACAAACUGGAUGCCGACUACAUCAAGAGAUACCUGGGCGAUUUGACUCCGCUGCAGGAGAGCUGCCUCAUUAGACUUCGCCAGUGGCUCCAGGAGACCCACAAGGGCAAAAUUCCAAAAGAUGAGCAUAUUCUUCGGUUCCUCCGUGCACGGGAUUUUAAUAUUGACAAAGCCAGAGAGAUCAUGUGUCAGUCUUUGACAUGGAGAAAGCAGCAUCAGGUAGACUACAUUCUUGAAACCUGGACCCCUCCUCAGGUCCUUCAGGAUUACUACGCGGGAGGCUGGCAUCAUCACGACAAAGAUGGGCGGCCCCUCUACGUGCUCAGGCUGGGGCAGAUGGACACCAAAGGCUUGGUGAGAGCGCUCGGGGAGGAAGCCCUGCUGAGAUACGUUCUCUCCAUAAAUGAAGAAGGGCUAAGGCGAUGCGAAGAGAAUACAAAAGUCUUUGGUCGGCCUAUCAGCUCAUGGACCUGCCUGGUGGACUUGGAAGGGCUGAACAUGCGCCACUUGUGGAGACCUGGUGUGAAAGCGCUGCUGCGGAUCAUCGAGGUGGUGGAGGCCAACUACCCUGAGACACUGGGCCGCCUUCUCAUCCUGCGGGCGCCCAGGGUAUUUCCUGUGCUCUGGACGCUGGUUAGUCCGUUCAUUGAUGACAACACCAGAAGGAAGUUCCUCAUUUAUGCAGGAAAUGACUACCAGGGUCCUGGAGGCCUGCUGGAUUACAUCGACAAAGAGAUUAUUCCAGAUUUCCUGAGUGGGGAGUGCAUGUGCGAAGUGCCAGAGGGUGGACUGGUCCCCAAAUCUCUGUACCGGACUGCGGAGGAGCUGGAGAACGAAGACCUCAAGCUCUGGACUGAGACCAUCUACCAGUCUGCAAGCGUCUUCAAAGGAGCCCCACAUGAGAUUCUCAUUCAGAUUGUGGAUGCCUCGUCAGUCAUCACUUGGGAUUUCGACGUGUGCAAAGGGGACAUUGUGUUUAACAUCUAUCACUCCAAGAGGUCGCCACAACCACCCAAAAAGGACUCCCUAGGAGCCCACAGCAUCACCUCUCCGGGUGGGAACAACGUGCAGCUCAUAGACAAAGUCUGGCAGCUGGGCCGCGACUACAGCAUGGUGGAGUCGCCUCUGAUCUGCAAAGAAGGAGAAAGCGUGCAGGGUUCCCAUGUGACCAGGUGGCCGGGCUUCUACAUCCUGCAGUGGAAAUUCCACAGCAUGCCUGCGUGCGCCGCCAGCAGCCUUCCCCGGGUGGACGACGUGCUCGCGUCCCUGCAGGUCUCUUCGCACAAGUGUAAAGUGAUGUACUACACCGAGGUGAUCGGCUCGGAGGAUUUCAGAGGUUCCAUGACGAGCCUGGAGUCCAGCCACAGCGGCUUCUCCCAGCUGAGUGCCGCCACCACCUCCUCCAGCCAGUCCCACUCCAGCUCCAUGAUCUCCAGGUAGUGCCGCGCUGCCUGCACCUAGUGUGCAGAGGGGACGGCCGCCCCUCCUCGGACAGCCAGCUGCACCCGCCCACCCAGCGGCGACAUUGUACAGACUCCUCUCACCUCUAGAUAGCAAAUAGCUCUCAGAUGGUAAACGUAGUCGUUUGAUCCCAAAACUACCUUGGCAGGUAGUUUUAACUCUGAUCCUAACUUAACUCAAUAGCCAUAGAUUUUGUAUACGUUGUGCACAAAAUCAAACCAGAGCACAAGGGCUCUCUUGAAAGAAAAGUAGUUUCUAUACCAAUUAAAGGAUUGACGUGGUCUCAGAUAUUGAUGCAAAAAAUUUUUCCAACGAACUCCGCAUUGUCCAUUAGUGAAUGAUUCCUGUGACAUCCUCCAGAGAUGGCCCCUCCUCACCUGGGACGGAAGCUGCCAGCUCGCUUCCCCCAAGCUGCCUCACGGCCCCCACGCUUCCCGCCACAGUCAAGAUGGCCUGUGGACUUAGGGCCAGCCCUUGAGGUCCUUAUCCUCUGAGGAUUCAGAGGUUGCCUGCGGAGUACCUUGUCCCAGGGCCAGACACACCCACACCACCCACUGUCCUGCAGUGGGGCCGGGGGCUCAGGAGGGGCUCUCGGGGACUCCUGGUGACUCCAGGAAAAUGCUGCCAUCGUUAAACAUUACUUUCUCUUUCCUCCUUUUCAAAUCUUUUUGAUACUUUUUAGAGCAGGAUUUUUCUGUAUGUGAACUUGGGUGGGGGGGUUCUUCCCGUUUCCUUCUGCGCGUCGCCCCUCUCACCUGCAGUCAGCUCCCAGCCCAGUGUAGGCCAUCUCCUCUGUGCCCUCUGGUGGCUCAUUGUCCUCAGAGCCCAGACAGUUCCAGCUGCUAGGAGGCCGUCUUGGAACCAGCAAGUCGCAUUUGCCACUUGACACUGUCCAUGGGGUUUUAUUAGUAGCUAAGCAGCAGCUCUCGCAUCCACUUCAGGGUGGCGUGUGGCAUGUAGGAGUCCUGCUUCUUUGUACAUGGGAAUUGUGGACUCAUGCGUGUGUGUGUGUGCAUGUGCUGUGUGUGUGCAUGUGUGCAUGACGGUGGGGGUGCUGGGGGGACAGGGUGAGUGGAAACUUAGUUUGAAUAAUGAAGGAAUCUUCACAGAAGCAAAUCAGAAUAUGGGAUUUGUUUGCCUUUUACAUUUUGUUUAAUUCCUGAUUUUAAAGCCUGCUCUAUCUGCUACAGGCCCUUAUUUUUUCAGCUUUUUAUGGGAAAAGCAGGUUAUUUGAGAAUCUGUCCAGAAGUUGCAUAGGGGAUGGCCUCCACGAUAAGGACAUGCAACACGUGUUUCUGUGUGCAGCAGAGGCCGUGUUUUUCAUGCCAAACCCCACGCGGCUGUCAACUGUGUGCGUGGUAGGCAUGGAGAUCCUGGUUGUGCCGUCUCAGCUGCGCUCUGAAGGCACUGUGUGGGUGCUGCGUGACUGGAGAGCUGUGUGGAGGCCAUGUGUGCCCCGUGCAGGGAUCAGGAGGGCGGGGGAGGGACCAAGCAGCCCUCUUGCCCGGUCGGGUCAGCCCUAGUGGCUGCCUGCACACUGUAGACGUCCCAGGGCCUGUGCUGUGAUCACCUGCCUUUGGACCACAUUUGUGUUUGCUCUUAGAGAUCGAGCUACUCAGUGGUACCUGAAGCCUUUGCUUCCGGAAAGCGCGGUAGGGUUCGUAGGUAGGGCUAGUAGGUAGGGCUAGUAGGUAGGGUUAGUAGGUAGGGUUAGUAGUAGGGCUAGUAGGUAGGGCUAGUAGGUAGGGUUAGUAGGUAGGGUUCGUAGGUAGGGCUAGUAGGUAGGGUUAGUAGCACGUCUGUGCUGCUUCCACCUGGUGCUUCCUGUUCCCAAAUCACAAGGGCCUGAAGGUGGUCCCUGCUUUCUCUUUCUCUCUUUCUCUGUGUCUCAGAUGGCGAUUUUGCUGACAGCUGCCAAGAAAAUGCUUCACUCAACAGUCCUCAUGUGCCCAGAGAUGUUUAUAGAACUGUUUGAAUUGCAGCCAUCCCCUGCCCCCUCCCAGGCUGAAGAUCUGUUCUUUUUAAGUUGAUUCGGGAGUGGCGUUCUUUUAUACCCAAAGAGUUUAGUGCAUCUUGAAGAGCUCAAAGCACAUGACCGCACAAAUGCUUACAGGGUUUCCUCCCGAGUAAUCCAGUCUCACUCCCCUUGUAAGGGAAUUCUGGGGCAGCUAUGGUUUGAGUAUGCAGUUUGCAUCGUGUUUCUACCUUUAGUACCUUGCCACUCUUUUAAAACGCUGCUGUCAUUUCCCAUUUCUUAGUACUAAUGAUUCUUUGAUUCUCCCUCUAUUAUGUCUUAAUUCACUUUCCUUCCUAAAUUUGUUAUUUGCAUAUCAAAUUCUGUAAAUGUUUUGUAAACAUAUUACCUCACUUGGUAAUACAAUACUGAUAGUCUUUAAAAGAUUUUUUUAUUGUUAUCAAUAAUAAAUGUGAACUGUUUAAAGAAAAGAA